rnacentral:snRNA from 1 species
GUGCUUGCUUCAGCAGCACAUGUAGUAAAACUGGAAUGAUACAGAGAAGAAUAGCAUGGAUGACACACAUAUCUGUGAAGUGUUCCAUAUUUCU